rnacentral:rRNA from 1 species
CAUGCAAGUCGAACGCAUCCUUCGGGAUGAGUGGCAGACGGGUGAGUAACACGUGGGAACGUACCUUUCGGUACGGAAUAACGUCUGGAAACGGACGCUAACACCGUAUACGCCCCGGUCCUGUGGUGGGAUCGGGGGAAAGUUUACGCCGAGGGCUGGGCCCGCGCCCGAUUAGCUAGUUGGUGAGGUAACGGCUCACCAAGGCUGCGAUCGGUACCUGGUCUGAGAGGAUGAUCAGGCACACUGGGACUGAGACACGGCCCAGACUCCUACGGGAGGCAGCAGUGGGGAAUAUUGGACAAUGGGGGCAACCCUGAUCCAGCCAUGCCGCGUGGGUGAUGAAGGCCUUAGGGUUGUAAAGCCCUUUCACUGGCGACGAUGAUGACGGUAGCCAGAGAAGAAGCCCCGGCUAACUCCGUGCCAGCAGCCGCGGUAAUACGGAGGGGGCAAGCGUUGUUCGGAAUUACUGGGCGUAAAGGGCGCGUAGGCGGUCCGUCGCGUCAGGUGUGAAAGCCCCGGGCUCAACCUGGGAGGUGCACUUGAUACGGGCGGGCUGGAGGCCGAGAGAGGUGAGUGGAAUUCCCAGUGUAGAGGUGAAAUUCGUAGAUAUUAGGAAGAACACCAGUGGCGAAAGCGGCUCACUGGUCCGGUACUGACGCUGA